AUACUUACCUGGUGCUGGGUCAGUGGUAAUCACGGAGGCCGCGGCCCCCAUGCCGAGGUCGUUCCGUUGCACUGCGGUUGGCUGAUAAGCACGCCACUUCCCCAAGUCGGGGUAGCUAAAGCAUGCAAUUUCCGGUAAUGGGGCUAUAGGCGUACGCGCCAGCUCCUA